GGAGGGGGCUAGCGUUGUUCGGAUUUACUGGGCGUAAAGGGCGCGUAGGCGGUAUGCCAUGUCAGGGGUGAAAGGCCUGGGCUCAACCCAGGAACUGCCUUUGAAACUGGCAAACUAGAGUCCGAUAGAGGAUGGCGGAAUUCCCAGUGUAGAGGUGAAAUUCGUAGAUAUUGGGAAGAACACCAGUGGCGAAGGCGGCCAUCUGGAUCGGCACUGACGCUGAGGCGCGAAAGCGUGGGGAGCAAACAGGGAUUAGAUACCCUGGUAGUCCACGCCGUAAACGAUGUGUGCUAGACGUUGGGGGGGUCUUAGACCCCUGAGUGUCGCAGCUAACGCGUUAAGCACACCGCCUGGGGAGUACGGCCGCAAGGUUA
rnacentral:rRNA from 1 species